AAGCGGGAAGAGCUCAAAUUUGUAAUCUGGCGCUUUCGGCGUCCGAGUUGUAAUCUCUAGAAGUGUUUUCCGCGUUGGACCGCACACAAGUCUGUUGGAAUACAGCGGCACAGUGGUGAGACCCCCGUUCACGGUGCGGAUGCCCAAUGCUUUGUGAUACACUUUCGAAGAGUCGAGUUGUUUGGGAAUGCAGCUCAAAUUGGGUGGUAAAUUCCAUCUAAAGCUAAAUAUUGGCGAGAGACCGAUAGCGAACAAGUACCGUGAGGGAAAGAUGAAAAGCACUUUGGAAAGAGAGUUAACAGUACGUGAAAUUGUUGGAAGGGAAACGCUUGAAGUCAGACUUGCUAUUCGGGCAACCGAGUUGCAGGCCAGCAUCAGUUUUUCGGGGCGGAAAAUCACGGUUAGAAGGUAGCAGUUUCGGCUGUGUUAUAGCUUUCCGUUGGAUACGUCCUGGGGGACUGAGGAACGCAGCGUGCUUUUUGCAGGAGCUUCGGCUUCAUCACGCUUAGGAUGCUGGUGUAAUGGCUUUAAACGACCCGUCUUGA
rnacentral:rRNA from 1 species